UGGGGAAUUUUGGACAAUGGGGGCAACCCUGAUCCAGCAAUGCCGCGUGAGUGAAGAAGGCCUUCGGGUUGUAAAGCUCUUUUGUCAGGGAAGAAACACCGGCUCUAACACAGUCCGGGAAUGACGGUACCUGAAGAAUAAGCACCGGCUAACUACGUGCCAGCAGCCGCGGUAAUACGUAGGGUGCGAGCGUUAAUCGGAAUUACUGGGCGUAAAGCGUGCGCAGGCGGGUAUACAAGACAGGCGGGG
rnacentral:rRNA from 1 species